GAAAAAAAAAAAAAAAAAAAAAAAAACGCACACACACGCACACAAAUAAGCCAAACACAACCCAAGUUUUGGUUUUCACUUUGUUCUCUACCUUCUUUUUGUUUUUCUCUUUCUCUUCGCCAUUCCAAAUUUUU
rnacentral:ribozyme from 1 species